CCUCAGCAUCCAUCAGUCCAUCAGGUUUGGUGUCAGCAGGCAGCUGGGUGAACCUGACCUGCUCCAGCAGAGCCAAACCUCCAGUCAGCAGCUUCACCUGGUUCAAGAAGAGCAGAGAUGGAGCUGUGAAAGUAUCUGAAGGAGAGAUUUACAGCUUCAAUGUAACAGAUGGAGGAGUUUAUUACUGUGUGGCCACUAAUGAUCUGGGUAAUCAGACAUCAGCAGAGAUUCAUGUGACUGUUGCAGGACAUCAGAAUAGUGGUUCUUUACCACUGAGUCUACUUCUUGGAGGCAUCCUUGGGUUCAUCUUACUGAUCUGUUUGAUUAUCUUUGCUUUCACAGCUCUCAGGUUGUUAAAGUACCAAACUCAGCAAGAGACUCAGAGUCAAACAAGUGAAGAGCUGGUUGUUGAAGAGCCGACAAGUAAAACAGAAGGAGGGGAAGAAAACAUCCAUUAUGGAGAGAUCAACUUCUCUGUGCUGGGAUAUGAAGCAUCCUCUGUCUCAGUGCAGGACACAGGACAGCAGCAGGAUACGGUGUACGCACAGGUGAAAGUCAACAAGCCAAAAAAACGGCUUAACACAGAGAGCUCAUGGCCAAGAGGAACUCUACGCUGAGGUCAGAAAAAGUGAGAACAGCUGUGUUAAGACAUUAACAAAGAAAUACAGAGAUCAAUGAAGUAAACCCAACAAACCACUUCCUGCACA